rnacentral:lncRNA from 1 species
UGGUGUCGCAAACCAAUUGGUCGAUCCAUUGUACCAGUUUGUACCACAAAGACGUGAUCAGCAUGACACAAUAAUUGUCUCGAGCUCUCCUAAUCUAAUGUCCAAUCUCCAAACUAGUACCAAUUUAAUACCUAAUCUCCAAAAUCGAUCAACAUACAAUAAAAAAAAGAGAUUAGUUAGUUCAAUUUAUACAUGCACCUG